UAUCUAGGAUAUUAUCAUUCGGGAAGCUUUCGUUUUAAUUUUUUUGCUCUAUACCUUUAUUUUGAGCUUUACACAACUAUCAUAUGAAGAUUCUGUACCUUUACUUUUAGUGUACUAGAAGCUGCAACUGUUUCCCAAUUUUCUUCUGAUGUUUAUUGUAGUUUUACAUUCCAACAUAAUGUCAUUGAAGUAAAGUUGGUUGGGGGGGGGAGUAUCUCAUCUGGAUAACCCUCUUCUUUUGUUCUCUGUGGUUUAAGCUAAUUUUAUAUAAAUUCCUAUUAUUUUGAAACCAUGAUGGCUCUGUAGAAACAAGCAAAAUAUCUUCUAACUUCGAUAGUUGAUACCACAAGCAUGCACUAGAAGAUUGCUAAAGGGUAUCUCCCCUGGAAAACCCUCUUCAUUUUAGUGUAUCAUGCACAAGAUGAUUGCUAAAGGUACAAAACCAGUUAACUAAAAAAGAAGAAAGAAUAAUUUGACAGGGAGGAGGGAGACAAUAUUGACAAUUAUCGUGGUUGAUGCAAUGGUGUGCUUAGUUUUACCAGAAAACAUGUCAGAAACUUCUUCAUCUCUCUAUAUGUAAAAGGAGAUAGAGUUUUUAUGUUCUUGCGAAUUGUUUGAAAAUUGGACGUAUAAUGGUGAUUUAUUAGUAAAAUGGGUGUUUAAGUUACCAGCCUAGCCUUCUGAUGUAAAUUUCUAUUCAGACCAUGAGCUUCCUCCCCCUCUCCCCCCCCCCCCAAAAAAAAAAAGAAAA